GCGAAUUCGCCCUUCGGGGUGCAGCAGGCGCGAAAACUUUACAACGCGGGAAACCGUGAUAAGGGGACACCGAGUGCCAUCAUCAUAUGCUGGCUGUCCAGGUGUGUAAAAUACACCUGUUAUCAAGGGCCGGGCAAGACCGGUGCCAGCCGCCGCGGUAACACCGGCGGCCCAAGUGGUGAUCGUGAUUAUUGGGUCUAAAGGGUCCGUAGCCGGUUUGGUCAGUCCUCCGGGAAAUCUGAUAGCUUAACUAUUAAGCUUUCGGAAGAUACUGCCAGACUUGGAACCGGGAGAGGUAAGAGGUACUACAGGGGUAGGAGUGAAAUCUUGUAAUCCCUGUGGGACCACCUGUGGCGAAGGCGUCUUACCAGAACGGGUUCGACGGUGAGGGACAAAAGCUGGGGGCACGAACCGGAUUAUAUACCCGGGUAGUCCCAGCCGUAAACGAUGCUCGCUAGGUGUCAGGCAUGGCGCGACCGUGUCUGGUGCCGCAGGGAAUCCGUGAAGCGAGCCACCUGGGAAGUACGGCCGCAAGGCUGAAACUUAAAGGAAUUGGCGGGGGAGCAC
rnacentral:rRNA from 1 species